rnacentral:rRNA from 1 species
GACGAGGGGUGCAAACGUUAUUCGGAAUGAUUGGGCGUAAAGGGUGCGCAGGCGGUAUGCUAAGUCAACUGUUAAAUUCCUCAGCCUAACUGAGGGUCAGCGGUAGAUACUGGCGUACUUGAGAGUGGUAGAGAGAAGUGGAAUUCUCGGAGUAGCGGUAAAAUGCGUAGAUCUCGAGAGGAACACCGAUGGCGAAGGCAGCUUCUUGGACCAUUUCUGACGCUCAUGCACGAAAGCGCGGGGAGCAAACAGG